CCCAAAUGCACGAGCAGAGAAGAUUCCAUGGCCAGGCCCCGCUGGAGGAGAUGAGGAAGGCUGCCGAGGAUCUGCAAAUUCCAUAAGAACGCUGGCCUGUCCUCUCAGGCUACCCAAGGCCCCUGGCUGGUGGCCUCUUCCAGAGCCGGAGAUGGGAGAGAGGAGACAUGAGGGCAGGAUGUGGAGCCACUUCAUGGAGACCCCACCCAACCUGACUUGGACCCCGCUUCUGAGACUCUUUUCCUCCUCAGCCCAAGGAGUUUGUAUCUGCCUUUAGAUAAACUCUUAUUCUUUCUAAA
rnacentral:sRNA from 1 species